AGGGUGUUUGGGGAGUCAGGCCACCCCGCCACGUUUGGGACGUGGAGAACUCGCGAGUUCGAAUCUCGCACACCCUA
rnacentral:tRNA from 1 species